ACGGAAGAAGAGAAACCGAGCGCCUCGCCGCCAACCCUCGAACCCGCGCGCGGUCGCUGGAGUCAGACGCUAAUAGCCGCGCGCUGCCUAGGAACGGAACCCCGGAACCACCACCACUAACGGAACCAGCCCGCGGCCGGCAACGGCGGCCGUUCGGACUGCGGACUGCGGCACGCGGGCCGGGCGCCGGGAGGGCGGGGGUUCCCCGGAGGAGCUGGCCGCCCCGGCGCCCCAUUGGGCGCUGCUCCAAACGUGCCCGAGUGGUGACAGGAAUAAAGUGGGUCACAAGGCCUAGCGGGUCCCCAGCGAAAGCUCUCUCGGCACCCGGUCCCCGUCUUUCCCCGCCUCCCAGCUGCUGGAAUCGGCCGCAGCUCCGGGCGCCCUCAAGCCGCCCGGCCCCGCCGUGCACCCCACUCCCGCCCCUGCCCCGCAGGUAACCCCAGCUGCCCCAGAGGGCCUCUCAGGCAGGGCGGGCCUCGGCCCGAAGUCCCGGGAAAAGACACACUAGAACGACACGCCAAACUUGGGCUUCAGCUCCCGCCUUCCCCACCCUUGGCCGCCGCCCCCCGGCCCCACACACGCCGCCCCCCGCUCCCUCCCCUUCCCCGCGCCCUCACCGUGUGGCUUGCGGCGGCUCCGGCUUCUUCCCUCCCCCACCCAGGUCUCCCGCUGCGGUGACUCGGAACCACUACCCCGCCUGUGUCCAGGAGGCGCCGCGGCUCCCACCUCCAGCAGCACCUGGGGCUUGACAGUGUAAUGGAAGAUGGAGAAUGAAGCAUCAGAAAUAAACCAGGACCCUAAUUUGCAUGGAUUUCCUCGUUGGAACAACGUGUGACUACUACUUAUCUUCGGGAAAUUACUUAUCUUGAUGCGUUAAGGCACAUUUGGUCCACAUGAGAAAGCACAUUUCAGUGCUUCUACUGGAAAAGAGAUCUUUACAGUCUUAAUUCCUAGUAAUUCCUAUGUUUUAAUGAAUAUCUUUUGGAUUUGAAAUAAAAGCCAUCUUUUUCUUUCAAAAAA